AUGGCAAACCAGCGACAAGCUUCUCCGCGAUGGAUUCCACCACCGCUUGGAUCUGUAAAGAUAAGGGUGGCUGUUGCAGUUGCAAGAAACCAAAAUAAAGGCUCGUUCAGUGCGGUGUGCAGGGACUCUUCGGGGCUUUAUUUGGGUUCAUCAGUUAUCAGAAUAGAAGGUAUAAUAGACCCACCAAUGUUGGAAGCUCUAGCAUGUCGUGAAGCACUUUCUCUAGCUUUGGAUCUAGCAUUAUCACAUGUAAUUAAUCCACUGAAAAAUAGCGCGCUAUAA
rnacentral:rRNA from 1 species